GUCGAGAAUCUUUCACAAUGGGGGCAACCCUGAUGGAGCGACGCCGCGUGGAGGAUAAGGUCUUCGGAUUGUAAACUCCUGUCAUGCGUGAACAAGGUUGCUUGGUUAAUACCUGGGCAAAUUGAUGGUAACGCAAGAGGAAGAGACGGCUAACUCUGUGCCAGCAGCCGCAGUAAUACAGAGGUCUCAAGCGUUGUUCGGAAUCACUGGGCGUAAAGGGUGCGUAGGUGGCGUGGCAAGUCAGAUGUGAAAGCCCGGGGCUCAACCUCGGAACUGCAUCCGAUACUGCCAUGCUAGAGUACUGGAGGGGUGACUAGAAUUCUCGGUGUAGCAGUGAAAUGCGUAGAUAUCGAGAGGAAUACCAAAGGCGUAGGCAGGUCACUGGACAGUUACUGACACUGAGGCACGAAGGCCAGGGGAGCGAACGGGAUUAGAAACCCGGGUAGUCC
rnacentral:rRNA from 1 species